GCAAUCAGCGUCAGUAACAACGUAAUCAAUUACAACUUUCAACAACGGAUCUCUUGGUUCUGGCAUCGAUGAAGAACGCAGCGAAAUGCGAUACGUAGUGUGAAUUGCAGAAUUCAGUGAAUCAUCGAAUCUUUGAACGCACAUUGCGCCCUUUGGUAUUCCAAAGGGCAUGCCUGUUCGAGCGUCAUUUGUACCCUCAAGCUUUGCUUGGUGUUGGGCGUCUUUUGUCUCCAGCUCGCUGGAGACUCGCCUUAAAGUCAUUGGCA
rnacentral:rRNA from 1 species